rnacentral:rRNA from 1 species
CCUACGGGGGGCAGCAGUGAGGAAUAUUGGUCAAUGGACGAGAGUCUGAACCAGCCAAGUCGCGUGAAGGAUGAAGGAUCUAUGGUUUGUAAACUUCUUUUAUAUGGGAAUAAAGUGAGGAACGUGUUCCUUUUUGUAUGUACCAUAUGAAUAAGCAUCGGCUAACUCCGUGCCAGCAGCCGCGGUAAUACGGAGGAUGCGAGCGUUAUCCGGAUUUAUUGGGUUUAAAGGGUGCGUAGGUGGUUAAUUAAGUCAGCGGUGAAAGUUUGUGGCUCAACCAUAAAAUUGCCGUUGAAACUGGUUGACUUGAGUAUAUUUGAGGUAGGCGGAAUGCGUGGUGUAGCGGUGAAAUGCAGAGAUAUCACGCAGAACUCCGAUUGCGAAGGCAGCUUACUAAACUAUAACUGACACUGAAGCACGAAAGCGUGGGGAUCAAACAGGAUUAGAUACCCCUGUAGUC